ACGUAGGGGGCAAGCGUUAUCCGGAUUUACUGGGUGUAAAGGGAGCGUAGACGGCGACGCAAGUCUGGAGUGAAAGCCCGGGGCCCAACCCCGGGACUGCUUUGGAAACUGUGUUGCUGGAGUGCAGGAGAGGUAAGUGGAAUUCCUAGUGUAGCGGUGAAAUGCGUAGAUAUUAGGAGGAACACCAGUGGCGAAGGCGGCUUACUGGACUGUAACUGACGUUGAGGCUCGAAAGCGUGGGGAGCAAACAG
rnacentral:rRNA from 1 species